AUUGAACGCUGGCGGCAUGCCUUACACAUGCAAGUCGAACGGCAGCACGGGAGCAAUCCUGGUGGUGAGUGGCGAACGGGUGAGUAAUAUAUCGGAACGUGCCCAGUCGUGGGGAUAACGUAGCGAAAGCUACGCUAAUACCGCAUACGAUCUAUGGAUGAAAGCGGGGGAUCGCAAGACCUCGCGCGAUUGGAGCGGCCGAUAUCAGAUUAGGUAGUUGGUGAGGUAAAGGCUCACCAAGCCGACGAUCUGUAGCUGGUCUGAGAGGACGACCAGCCACACUGGGACUGAGACACGGCCCAGACUCCUACGGGAGGCAGCAGUGGGGAAUUUUUGGACAAUGGGCGCAAGCCUGAUCCAGCAAUGCCGCGUGCAGGAAGAAGGCCUCGG
rnacentral:rRNA from 1 species